UACGUAGGCAGCGAGCGUUGUUCGGAGUUACUGGGCGUAAAGGGUGUGUAGGCGGUUGUUUAAGUUUGGUGUGAAAUCUCCCGGCUCAACUGGGAGGGUGCGCCGAAUACUGAAUGACUUGGAGUGCGGGAGAGGAAAGUGGAAUUCCUGGUGUAGCGGUGAAAUGCGUAGAUAUCAGGAGGAAUACCUAUGGCGAAAGCAGGUAUCUGGGCCAUCACUGACGCUGAGCUGCGAAAGCUAGGGGAGCAAACAGG
rnacentral:rRNA from 1 species